rnacentral:antisense_RNA from 1 species
GCAUCACAGCUCCCCACAGACUCUCAGAGAGAAACCAGGAGCUCAGGCCGGGGGCCCAGGAGCCUGAGGGAAGGAAGAAAACAGCCAGGCGCCUGCAGGACCAGAGGCACGCACCGGCCAAGACCCACAGAGCAUCGGCGAGACCUGCGCGGAGCCCCUCGAGGCGGGGCCAGGGACCAGCAGGCUGUCCUGAGACUGGCCACAGGCCCUGCCGCACCAUGUGGCUCUUCCUGAAUGUUCUCAGCCACGGAAUGCCAGGAGUGACUGUUUACCAAGUUAAUGGCUCAUGCAUGUCCUGGCGGAUGGAUGUGUCACCAGGCAGAAUCAUUAAAAUAUCCCAAACAGGCCAGGCGCGGUGGCUCACACCUGUAAUCCCAGCACUUUGGGGGGCCAAGGUGGAUGGACUGCCUGAGCUCAGGAGUUCAAGACCAGCCUGGCCAACACAGACCAUCCUGGUGAAACCCCAUCUCUACUAAAAAUACACAAAUUAGCCAGGCGUGGUGGUGCACACCUGUAAUCCCAGCUACUGGGGAGGCUGAGGCAGGAGAAUCACUUUGAACCCGAGAGGCUGAGGUUGCAGUGAGCUGAGAUCCUGUCACUGCACUCCAACCUGGGUGACAGAGGGAGACUCUGUCUCAAGAAAAAAAAAAAGUAAAAAAUAAAAAUGAGCCGUUGGAAACCA